GAGUGGCUGCACAAGUGCCUACCUGACAGGGAGCACUGCUACUGGGUUCUGCUUUUAUUGUUGCUGGAAGGAGCAGAACCACAGGCACAGAGGAUGGGUCAGGCUUGAGAUAAUCAUGGUUGCUUUUUCAUACAAGGCCCCUCAACCUCUGUAGGCAGCUUGUCCACGCUGCAGGAGAAUCUGGGUCACUGUGUCUUCAUGGACCAUUCCAAGAGGAAGUAUUUUUCCGAUGAACUUUUGUCUGAACUUCUGGACAGGGCAACAACCAGGCCCAGCACCAAAGAGAGAGGGGCUUAUGGCUAGAGGAAAGGUUUGGAAUCCUUCACUGCCACUAUUACAAAUUACGCCUGGUUCUUCUGAGUACAAACAGCAGAAAUUUUAAUAAAACGUUUCAAUUACUG